UACGGAGGGUGCAAGCGUUAUCCGGAUUUACUGGGUUUAAAGGGUGCGUAGGUGGGCGAGUAAGUCAGUGGUGAAAUCUCCGGGCUUAACCCGGAAACUGCCAUUGAUACUAUUUGUCUUGAAUACUUUGGAGGUAAGCGGAAUAUGUCAUGUAGCGGUGAAAUGCUUAGAUAUGACAUAGAACACCAAUGGCGAAGGCAGCUUACUAGACAGUAAUUGACACUGAGGCACGAAAGCGUGGGGAGCAAACAGG
rnacentral:rRNA from 1 species